rnacentral:rRNA from 1 species
UACGAAGGGGGCUAGCGUUGCUCGGAAUACUGGGCGUAAAGCGCACGUAGGCGGAUCUUUAAGUCAGGGGUGAAAUCCUGGAGCUCAACUCCAGAACUGCCUUUGAUACUGAGGACCUUGAGUUCGGGAGAGGUGAGUGGAACUGCGAGUGUAGAGGUGAAAUUCGUAGAUAUUCGCAAGAACACCAGUGGCGAAGGCGGCUCACUGGCCCGAUACUGACGCUGAGGUGCGAAAGCGUGGGGAGCAAACAGGGAUUAGAAACCCUUUGAUCCCAGAACCAACGUACUC